AUGAUCCUUCAGCAGCACAUAUACUAAAAUUGGAAUGAUACAGGUAAGAUUAACAUGGUUGCAGCAGAAAUGUGACACACAAAUUUGUGAAUUGUUACAUAUUUUU